CUGGCGGCGUGCUUAACACAUGCAAGUCGAACGGUGAACACGGAGCUUGCUCUGUGGGAUCAGUGGCGAACGGGUGAGUAACACGUGAGCAACCUGCCCCUGACUCUGGGAUAAGCGCUGGAAACGGCGUCUAAUACUGGAUACGAACCACGAAGGCAUCUUCAGUGGUUGGAAAGAUUUAUUGGUUGGGGAUGGGCUCGCGGCCUAUCAGCUUGUUGGUGAGGUAAUGGCUCACCAAGGCGUCGACGGGUAGCCGGCCUGAGAGGGUGACCGGCCACACUGGGACUGAGACACGGCCCAGACUCCUACGGGAGGCAGCAGUGGGGAAUAUUGCACAAUGGGCGCAAGCCUGAUGCAGCAACGCCGCGUGAGGGAUGACGGCCUUCGGGUUGUAAACCUCUUUUAGCAGGGAAGAAGCGAAAGUGACGGUACCUGCAGAAAAAGCGCCGGCUAACUACGUGCCAGCAGCCGCGGUAAUACGUAGGGCGCAAGCGUUAUCCGGAAUUAUUGGGCGUAAAGAGCUCGUAGGCGGUUUGUCGCGUCUGCUGUGAAAUCCGGAGGCUCAACCUCCGGCCUGCAGUGGGUACGGGCAGACUAGAGUGCGGUAGGGGAGAUUGGAAUUCCUGGUGUAGCGGUGGAAUGCGCAGAUAUCAGGAGGAACACCGAUGGCGAAGGCAGAUCUCUGGGCCGUAACUGACGCUGAGGAGCGAAAGGGUGGGGAGCAAACAGGCUUAGAUACCCUGGUAGUCCACCCCGUAAACGUUGGGAACUAGUUGUGGGGUCCAUUCCACGGAUUCCGUGACGCAGCUAACGCAUUAAGUUCCCCGCCUGGGGAGUACGGCCGCAAGGCUAAAACUCAAAGGAAUUGACGGGGACCCGCACAAGCGGCGGAGCAUGCGGAUUAAUUCGAUGCAACGCGAAGAACCUUACCAAGGCUUGACAUAUACGAGAACGGGCCA
rnacentral:rRNA from 1 species